UACCAGCACCCCGAGUGGUCGGGACAUUUAUUGGGCCUAAAGCAUCCGUAGCCGGUUCUACAAGUCUUCCGUUAAAUCCAGCUGCUUAACAGAUGGGCUGCGGAAGAUACUAUGGAGCUAGGAGGCGGGAGAGGCAAGCGGUACUCGAUGGGUAGGGGUAAAAUCCGUUGAUCCAUUGAAGACCACCAGUGGCGAAGGCGGCUUGCCAGAACGCGCUCGACGGUGAGGGAUGAAAGCUGGGGGAGCAAACCGG
rnacentral:rRNA from 1 species